rnacentral:rRNA from 1 species
CUUUCUUUGCUGGCGACCGGCGCACGGGUGAGUAACACGUAUCCAACCUGCCCUUUACUCGGGGAUAGCCUUUCGAAAGAAAGAUUAAUACCCGAUAGUAUAAUGAUUCCGCAUGGUUUCAUUAUUAAAGGAUUCCGGUAAAGGAUGGGGAUGCGUUCCAUUAGGUUGUUGGUGAGGUAACGGCUCACCGAGCCUUCGAUGGAUAGGGGUUCUGAGAGGAAGGUCCCCCACAUUGGAACUGAGACACGGUCCAA